rnacentral:rRNA from 1 species
GUGAGGAAUCUUGCGCAAUGGGGGCAACCCUGACGCAGCAACGCCGCGUGAGUGAGGAAGGCCUUCGGGUCGUAAAGCUCUGUCGGAUGGAAAGAAACGGAUGCGGGUUAACAGCCUUCAUCCCUGACGGUACCAUCAGAGGAAGCACCGGCUAACUCCGUGCCAGCAGCCGCGGUAAUACGGGGGGUGCAAGCGUUGUUCGGAAUCAUUGGGCGUAAAGCGCGUGUAGGCGGCUUGGUAAGUCAGGUGUGAAAGCCCUGGGCUCAACCCAGGAAGUGCACUUGAUACUGCCUUGCUUGAGUACGGGAGAGGAAAGCGGAAUUCCUGGUGUAGAGGUGAAAUUCGUAGAUAUCAGGAGGAACACCGGUGGCGAAGGCGGCUUUCUGGCCCAAUACUGACGCUGAGACGCGAAAGCGUGGGGAGCAAACAGGAUUAGAAACCCUGGUAGUCC